UAAAAUUAUGUGAAUAAAUAUUUUGAUUUCUACAAAUCUUAACAUUUAACCAUGUUGGUUUAAAAAUAUUAUUGCUUGCUACUUGGACAUAACUAAUUUUUCCUUGUGCAUUUAAUACCUCUGGGCAGAAUCCAAAUACUGGGUUCUCCCGUAGUUCGUCUUUAGUUACUAAGAAAGGGUGUAGGACACAUUAGCCUUCUGGAAACAAGUAGAAGCCAUCACCUGGCCCAUGUCCCUACAAACCCAUGAUUGUCAGGGAGGUGCCAGUUACAGCAGGUGAUUCAGCUACUUGAGGUCGGUAACAGACCUUCCAUUCCUCACUGAAGGUGGGGUUUGUGUUUUUGUUUUGCCCUGUUACUCCACUGGUAGUCAUCUGGUGUUUGUACUAUAACAACAGCAAGAAAAUCUCAUUUAUCUUUAUAUACUCUUUGCACCUCCUUUUUUUAGUCGAGAUAUAAAUAUUUGAGGGGAGAGAAAUAUCUACAGGUAUAUAUGGAAACAAAUAAUGUGGUCUGCUUUAUAAGAUGGCCAGAUCUACAUUAGGAAAAGUAUAAGCCCCCUCCCUAAUGGCCGCUGGGGGGUGAGGGCGGUGUGUUGUAUGUCUUUGGGUGUUUGUUUUUUUAUAAAGCAUAUAAUAAAAUAAUCGUGCUACUA
rnacentral:lncRNA from 1 species